CCUAUGGGGGGCAGCAGGCGCGAAAACUUUGCAAUACGCGAAAGCGUGACAAGGAGAUUCUGAGUGGUUCUCAACUGAGAACCUUUUGACGAGUUUAGAUCACUCGUAGAAUAAGUGGUGGGUAAGACCGGUGCCAGCCGCCGCGGUAAUACCGGCACCACGAGUGGUAUCCGCGCAUAUUGGGUCUAAAGCGCUCGUAGUCGGCCGAAUAAGCCAUUGGUGAAAUCCUUGAGCUCAACUUGAGGGCGUGCCAGUAGAACUAUUCGGCUUGGGAGUGGGGGAGGUUAGAAGUACGCUUGGGGUAGGGGUUAAAUCCGUUAAUCCUAGGCGGACUAGCAGUGGCGAAGGCGUCUAACCAAAACACGUCCGACGAUGAGGUGCGAAGGCUAGGGGAGCAAACGGGAUUAGAUACCCACGUAGUCC
rnacentral:rRNA from 1 species